CCGCUUGCAAUCCCAAGGGUGCGGAAAAUAAAUUUGACACAAUGUUUCUUUUGUCUCCCCCCACCCCCACUCCUUCGCCUGGCCAAUUGAUUCGGAGCUCUGUUUCUCCCCUGCUACGGCUGCCUCCGGGUCGAACUGAGAUUUCCGUAGUGCAUUAAGCUAAUUUGGGUAGUGAAUAAGGACAAGUCCAGAAAGCAGAUUCACAAAGCAGAGACUCACAGAAGCGGGGCUGAUGUGCUAUACUGUCUAGAAGCUGGCAAACCUGUCCUGGAUCCUCCUCAAAGCAUUCGGAUGAGACAAUGCCGCUUCCGGCUCACAGCAACAUUCCUGGAGAGACCUGCAGAUCCCUGGAGGCUACGGAAGCCAGGCAAGGAGCAACCACAGGGGAGCUAUGGUUCCCAGGCCUCAGAGGUGAAAGGGACAGUAGUUUGCAAAUGCAGCUACAGCAUCCCGUGUGGCAGAGGAGUUUCUGCGCUCUGGGUGGAGCAGAACAGGAAAGUUCAUGAAUCCAGCACGUCAGAGCAGCCUUUCUCCCCUAUUUACUCCGGUGGCAUCGCGAGCGCUCACUACUUUACUUUGUCUUAACGCUGGCUUGUUAACCUCUGUAUGGUGACUUUCUAGCCACUAGCCUGGAGGCUGCAAGGCAGACCAGAGGAGCGGUCUAAUCUGCCUGCUGAACGAAGGUCACUGCAUGUGGAAUUCAACUGGGAGCUAUGCUGUGUUCUUGAGUUCUGAGGUGCUCAGGGCAACACCCUUCCUCCUGCAGCGUCUGGCAAGCUACACUAAAGAAGCUGCAACCUUCCUUCUCAAGAAGCACAGACACAGAUCCUCACUCCCAGCAAUGUUUCCUCGACUUAAUAUGAACCUGUCAAGGGCCAAGCAGGGAAAGCUUUUAGGUGGAAGUCAUGUCAACUAAACCUAACUAAAAUAGCAGCGGAGAGGUAUAGGCAGAGUUCUGUGAGGCGAGCAGCCCUUAGUCAUCAGCCUGGUUAUUCCUUGUGUGGGAUUUAACUCUCUGAGCAGUAGCUGACUGAAAUUACAGUGCUCGGAGCCAUGUGCACAACACAAUGUUUGGCGGUGCCUAACAGCGGCUGAUAAAUAGGUACACUCUUCCAUGAGCUACAGUCUCUUCUGUGCUCAGUGGGUAUCAAAGAACCAGGGAGUACAGUGUAUUAUCCAAUAAAGAGUUCGAUCCAGGAAAAGAAAACCGUAAGCACUUCUGCAUGCUGGUGAUAGAAUUCUAAUUUCACUUUUUAGAAUAACAGUUUUAUUACGGUAUAAUUCACACACCAUAAAAUUUACUUAUUAAAGUAUACAGUGGGGGAGGAUGUGGCAGCUUAAUAACUCUAUUUAGAGCAUUAUUCUCUACAGUUAAGUUCUUCACCCAUUAGCAAUCUCUCGACGAGCAGUCCUCUUCAGCACCGGCCUCUAAUCCUCAUUCUGUAUCCAGAACAUUUUUAUCCUGACCACAAUCACGGAACCUUACGAUAUUUGCUAUUUUCUGACAUAUCCCAUAUACAGAGCCUUUGAGUCCUAUUCGUGUCAUAGCAUAUGCCUAUAUUUCAUUCUUAUGGCUGAGUAAUAUUCCAUUUAAGGAUUUAGCGCAUUCUGUGUAUGCCCUGCUCAGUUAAUAAAUAUCCAAGAUGGUUGUAGUUUC